rnacentral:rRNA from 1 species
UAGUCCACGCCCUAAACGAUGCUUACUGGAUAUUCCUGUUAUGGGGGUGUCUGAGGGAAACCAUUAAGUAAGCCACCUGGGGAGUACGUUCGCAAGAAUGAAACUCAAAGGAAUUGACGGGGGUCCGCACAAGCGGUGGAACAUGUGGUUUAAUUCGAUGAUACGCGAGGAACCUUACCAGGCUCUAAUGCCUCUGCUAUACUCUGAAAGGGGUAGUUUCUUCGGAACAGAGUGCAAGGUGCUGCAUGGUUGUCGUCAGCUCGUGCCGUGAGGUGUUGGGUUAAGUCCCGCAACGAGCGCAACCCCUAUCUUUAGUUGCUAAUGGGUAAUGCCGAGGACUCUAGAGAGACUGCCUGUGUAAGCAGUGAGGAAGGAGGGGAUGACGUCAAAUCAUCAUGGGCCUUUAUGCCCAGGGGCUACACACGUGCUACAAUGGGUAUGGGACAAAGGGGUAGCGACACUGCGAAGUGAAGCCAAUCUCAAAAACCNUAA